GAAACGCGAUAGUUAAUGUGAAUUGCAGAAUUCAGUGAAUCAUCGAGUCUUUGAACGCACAUUGCGCCUUCCGGUAUUCCGGGAGGCACGCCUGUCUGAGCGUCAGUCAAACCCCUCCGGCCCCCGGUUUCACAGCCGGCGGGCGCGGGAGCAUUGGCGCGGGGAUCCCCGGCCGCCGCGUUUCGGCGCGGCCGGCCCCUCCCCCGCCUAAACGCGUGGAAAGCUAGCGGGCGGAAGCCCCCAUCGCGACGACUCGUAGAUUUUUACAACGUCGGCCGCCGAAGGGAUCCGCCAGCCUAACCCUCGGGGCUCACGCCCCCAGAAUCCUGACCUCAGAUCAGGCGAGGAUACCCGCUGAACUUAA
rnacentral:misc_RNA from 1 species